UGGUUAAGGCUCCCAGUAGACGACUGGGUUGAUAGGCCAGAUGUGGAAGCCCGGUAACGGGUGGAGCUGACUGGUACUAAUAGGCCGAGGGCUUGUCCUCAGUUG
rnacentral:rRNA from 1 species